GUUGUGGCUCAGUGGUAGAGUACUUGCCUGACAUGUAUGAGGUCCUGCGUUUGAUUCUCAGCAUGGCA
rnacentral:tRNA from 1 species